GCUCAAUCCUUUUCCUGGAAUGAAGAACCAUCUUGUUGUGGAUGGCGGCACAGCUUUGUUCUGCUUGCCGAUAUUGUCUUAUGUAGAGAAUUUGAGUGACAUUGCUGCUGCAUAUAAUCAUUAUUAAGCAUAAGGUUUAGCUUCUCGAGCUUAAAUUUCUUGAUUUUACAGGGGAUGUUGAUUUUAGAAUCUUGGAUAACAUAAACAGAGUUAAGCAAAGAGGGCUUCCAGAUGGUUUUAACGAUGCUCUAGAGUCAGAAACUCGGAUACAUGUAUGUGACAUUAACCCUAACAUGUUGAAUGUUGGCAAACAGCGGGCUGCGGCAAAGGGAGAAGAUGGUUCCCUUGUUUGGGUGGAGGGAAAUGCUGAAAGCUUGAGUUUCCAAAAUGAUUCAAUGGAUGGUUACACUAUUGCAUUUAGGAUAAGGAAUGUUACACACAUUGAGAAAGUUCUUAGUGAAGCUCAUAGGAAAAUUUUGCAUCAAUGAUUGCCGAUGCAGGGUUUCAAAAAGUAGAGUAUGAGUUAUCUUUUCCCAAGAUUUGAUAUUGUUUUUCAGAUGGGGAUAUUUAACUGUAAUAAGAAGAGUAGUUGUAUUUAUAAAUUUUUAUCAGAAAGUAGAGUUUUAUACAGAA